AUUGCUUUACAUAAUGCACUGAGUUUAGUAAGUCUUUUACACUGGAAGCGUAAUAUUAUGCAUUUACCGAGGAAACUUUGAACAAAAGUUAAUUGCUUGUUUGUUUUAUACAAGGAAAAUUUUAUCAUUCUUAGUUACAUAAAAAGAUAUUGCGUAAUAGGUAACAAACAAACAAAAAUAAAAGCUCUUAUUUUUUAACAUCAGUUAAAUGAGGGCAGAAAAUUUUAGACUAAAAUUUUUACAACUUUAAAAUAGUAUGAUAUAGUUCCAUAAAGAAGUUAUAACACAGUGACUAGUAUAUAGUACAUAUUAAUAUAUAAGCUGGGGAAAGAUUUGCAUCGUGUUUUGGUGGGAGCGCCGUCAGCGCCCAUGCGGGGCCGUCCAACGCUAGGACUGUGUGAGCCUCGCUAAAUGCCACGCCGCCAGGUAUCGCGCGAGACAAACACCAUAGUGUCUCGGCCUCACCCCCACCACCAGCAGAACACACCAUAACCAAUGAACCUGAUAAAAAAAUGUUCUCCAUUGUAAUUCACGAGGAAGUCAAAAGUAUUGUUAGCUAUUACCAUUAUAGGAAACAUAGCACUCAAUUAAAUCACUAUUUUCAAAUUAUAUUAGAAUUCAACAUGGCAGGAGGCAAGUUUACCACUUCAAUAUAAUAUUUUAUAUGUA